GACGAACGCUGGCGGCGUGCUUAACACAUGCAAGUCGAACGGAAAGGCCCUGCCUUUGUGGGGUGCUCGAGUGGCGAACGGGUGAGUAACACGUGAGUAACCUGCCCUUGACUUUGGGAUAACUUCAGGAAACUGGGGCUAAUACCGGAUAGGAGCUCCUGCUGCAUGGUGGGGGUUGGAAAGUUUCGGCGGUUGGGGAUGGACUCGCGGCUUAUCCGCUUGUUGGUGGGGUAGUGGCUUACCAAGGCUUUGACGGGUAGCCGGCCUGAGAGGGUGACCGGCCACAUUGGGACUGAGAUACGGCCCAGACUCCUACGGGAGGCAGCAGUGGGGAAUAUUGCACAAUGGGCGGAAGCCUGAUGCAGCAACGCCGCGUGCGGGAUGACGGCCUUCGGGUUGUAAACCGCUUUCGCCUGUGACGAAGCGUGAGUGGCGGUAAUGGGUAAAGAAGCACCGGCUAACUACGUG
rnacentral:rRNA from 1 species